rnacentral:rRNA from 1 species
AUUGAACGCUGGCGGCAGGCCUAACACAUGCAAGUCGAGCGGGGUUUUCGGACCUAGCGGCGGACGGGUGAGUAAUGCGUAGGAAGCUGCCCGAUAGAGGGGGAUACCAGUUGGAAACGACUGUUAAUACCGCAUAAUGUCUACGGACCAAAGUGUGGGACCUUCGGGACACAUGCUAUCGGAUGCGCCUACGUGGGAUU